rnacentral:misc_RNA from 1 species
GUUGAAGAUCAAGAAGUCCAUAUUGGCCGGUAAAGAAACUAUCCUAUUCUCUUCAGAAUGAUGAUGUACGGAAAGGAACUUUCCCGCUGCAGUUAAAGCAGCCCACAUACAGAACGAUAACGCUAGAAGCAGCUCUACUAUCACAUUCACUGGAGGUCCUGAAAACUCCUCCUCCAAAAUCUUCAACAAACCUCUAUACUGAAUGGUUGAAAAAGCUGCAUGAGCGAGAAUCAGGACUCCAAAUGCGCCAAUUAAAAUUAAAAAGCCUAAACCCAUUUUAUUAACUUCACUGAAUCUCCGAUCACCGGCCAACCUGAGUUCCGGGAUCGGGCACUAUCUAUAGCUGUUAGGGGCUGAAGUCUCAAGAAG